GCUAGUCGAGCGGAUGAAGGGAGCUUGCUCCUGGAUUCAGCGGCGGACGGGUGAGUAAUGCCUAGGAAUCUGCCUGGUAGUGGGGGAUAACGUCCGGAAACGGGCGCUAAUACCGCAUACGUCCUGAGGGAGAAAGUGGGGGAUCUUCGGACCUCACGCUAUCAGAUGAGCCUAGGUCGGAUUAGCUAGUUGGUGGGGUAACGGCCUACCAAGGCGACGAUCCGUAACUGGUCUGAGAGGAUGAUCAGUCACACUGGAACUGAGACACGGUCCAGACUCCUACGGGAGGCAGCAGUGGGGAAUAUUGGACAAUGGGCGAAAGCCUGAUCCAGCCAUGCCGCGUGUGUGAAGAAGGUCUUCGGAUUGUAAAGCACUUUAAGUUGGGAGGAAGGGCAGUAAGUUAAUACCUUGCUGUUUUGACGUUACCAACAGAAUAAGCACCGGCUAACUUCGUGCCAGCAGCCGCGGUAAUACGAAGGGUGCAAGCGUUAAUCGGAAUUACUGGGCGUAAAGCGCGCGUAGGUGGUUCAGCAAGUUGGAUGUGAAAUCCCCGGGCUCAACCUGGGAACUGCAUCCAAAACUACUGAGCUAGAGUACGGUAGAGGGUGGUGGAAUUUCCUGUGUAGCGGUGAAAUGCGUAGAUAUAGGAAGGAACACCAGUGGCGAAGGCGACCACCUGGACUGAUACUGACACUGAGGUGCGAAAGCGUGGGGAGCAAACAGGAUUAGAUACCCUGAUAGUGCACGUCGUAAACGA
rnacentral:rRNA from 1 species